GAUGAACGCUGGCGGCGUGCUUAACACAUGCAAGUCGAACGGGAAACCUUUUAAUGAAGCUUCGGCAGAUUUAGCUGGUUUCUAGUGGCGGACGGGUGAGUAACGCGUGGGUAACCUGCCUUAUACAGGGGGAUAACAGUCAGAAAUGACUGCUAAUACCGCAUAAGCGCACAGGACCGCAUGGUCCGGUGUGAAAAACUCCGGUGGUAUAAGAUGGACCCGCGUUGGAUUAGCUUGUUGGUGGGGUAACGGCUCACCAAGGCGACGAUCCAUAGCCGGCCUGAGAGGGGGAACGGCCACAUUGGGACUGAGACACGGCCCAGACUCCUACGGGAGGCAGCAGUGGGGAAUAUUGCACAAUGGGGGAAACCCUGAUGCAGCGACGCCGCGUGAAGGAAGAAGUAUCUCGGUAUGUAAACUUCUAUCAGCAGGGAAGAUAGUGACGGUACCUGACUAAGAAGCCCCGGCUAACUACGUG
rnacentral:rRNA from 1 species